ensembl:snRNA U6 U6 spliceosomal RNA
GCGCUCACCUCACAGCACUUACGUUAACACUGGAAUGUUACGGAGAGGAGCAGCGUGGCCCCUGCACAAGGGUGACACGCCAACUCGUGAAGCGUUCCGUAUUAAA